rnacentral:rRNA from 1 species
AGUGAACGCUGGCGGUAGGCCUAACACAUGCAAGUCGAACGGCAGCACAGGAGAGCUUGCUCUCUGGGUGGCGAGUGGCGGACGGGUGAGGAAUACAUCGGAAUCUACUCUGUCGUGGGGGAUAACGUAGGGAAACUUACGCUAAUACCGCAUACGACCUACGGGUGAAAGCAGGGGACCUUCGGGCCUUGCGCGAUUGAAUGAGCCGAUGUCGGAUUAGCUAGUUGGCGGGGUAAAGGCCCACCAAGGCGACGAUCCGUAGCUGGUCUGAGAGGAGGAUCAGCCACACUGGAACUGAGACACGGUCCAGACUCCUACGGGAGGCAGCAGUGGGGAAUAGUGGACAAUGGGCGCAAGCCUGAUCCAGCCAUACCGCGUGGGUGAAGAAGGCCUUCGGGUUGUAAAGCCCUUUUGUUGGGAAAGAAAUCCAGCUGGCUAAUACCCGGUUGGGAUGACGGUACCCAAAGAAUAAGCACCGGCUAACUUCGUGCCAGCCGCCGCAGUAA